rnacentral:rRNA from 1 species
UACGUAGGGUGCAAGCGUUGUCCGGAAUUAUUGGGCGUAAAGAGCUCGUAGGUGGUUUGUCGCGUUGUCCGUGAAAACUCACAACUCAAUUGUGGGCGUGCGGGCGAUACGGGCAGACUGGAGUACUGCAGGGGAGACUGGAAUUCCUGGUGUAGCGGUGGAAUGCGCAGAUAUCAGGAGGAACACCGGUGGCGAAGGCGGGUCGCUGGGACGUGACUGACGCUGAGACGCGAAAGCGUGGGGAGCAAACAGG